GACGAACGCUGGCGGCGUGCUUAACACAUGCAAGUCGAACGGAAAGGCCCUGCUUUUGUGGGGUGCUCGAGUGGCGAACGGGUGAGUAACACGUGAGUAACCUGCCCUUGACUUUGGGGUAACUUCAGGAAACUGGGGCUAAUACCGGAUAGGAGCUCCUGCUGCAUGGUGGGGGUUGGAAAGUUUCGGCGGUUGGGGAUGGACUCGCGGCUUAUCAGCUUGUUGGUGGGGUAGUGGCUUACCAAGGCUUUGACGGGUAGCCGGCCUGAGAGGGUGACCGGCCACAUUGGGACUGAGAUACGGCCCAGACUCCUACGGGAGGCAGCAGUGGGGAAUAUUGCACAAUGGGCGGAAGCCUGAUGCAGCAACGCCGCGUGCGGGAUAACGGCCUUCGGGUUGUAAACCGCUUUCGCCUGUGACGAAGCGUGAGUGACGGUAAUGGGUAAAGAAGCACCGGCUAACUACGUG
rnacentral:rRNA from 1 species